AGAUUGAACGCUGGCGGAAUGCUUUACACAUGCAAGUCGAGCGGCAGCGCGGGGGCAACCCUGGCGGCGAGCGGCGAACGGGUGAGUAAUACAUCGGAACGUGUCCUGGAGUGGGGGAUAGCUCGGCGAAAGCCGGAUUAAUACCGCAUAAGCUCUGAGGAGGAAAGCGGGGGAUUCGCAAGGACCUCGCGCUGUUGGAGCGGCCGAUGUCGGAUUAGCUAGUUGGUGGGGUAAAGGCCACCAAGGCGACGAUCCGUAGCUGGUCUGAGAGGAUGAUCAGCCACACUGGAACUGAGACACGGUCCAGACUCCUACGGGAGCAGCAGUGGGAAUUUGGACAAUGGGGGCAACCCUGAUCCAGCCAUUCCGCGUGAGUGAAGAAGGCCUUCGGGUGUAAAGCUCUUUCGGACGGACGAAAUGGUUACGGCUAACACCUGUGACUGAUGACGGUACCGUAAGAAGAAGCACGGCUAACUACGUGCCAGCAGCCGCGGUAAUC
rnacentral:rRNA from 1 species